AAUCGUUCGAUUGUCAGAGCAAUCCUCAGUAACACGUACUCAUUAUUUGUGUCACUGGUUUUCUUCUGACGAAUCGAAAUGCU
rfam:Caenorhabditis brenneri strain PB2801 C_brenneri-6.0.1_Cont0.20, whole genome shotgun sequence.